rnacentral:misc_RNA from 1 species
CCCUGCCCGAGGAUCGAACUCGGGUCUGCUCGCUUGCAAGGCCAGGGUGCAGACCUAUUACACCACAUCACUAUACACUGCCAUACACAACACUACACACAAACAUACAGUAUACCGACGUAAACAUCACUAAAUACACAACUUCCAUAUACACACUACACACACUCAUACACUAUGGCGUGUCAUAAAGCUACCUCAAAACAUAAACACGAAGGCCACUUGAGAUGUCUUGUAAACACCAAAACCAAACACCUUUAAUGUGUGUGUGUGUGUGUGUGUGUGUACCAUAGAGAGAAAUUCAGAAGAAAGUCCACCAGCCAACGAUACAGACGAGAUUCAUUAUAUGUGACUGCACUGCGCAUGCGUGAGGAGAGUUACGGACCCAACUAGCGGGUCGUAGUGCGCCUGUGUGGGCUGGAGAACCCUGCAACCUGACUCAGACUGAUCUAGAGCGUCACCUAGCACUGACCUUACUUUGAACCAGCUGUGUUGUUGUGUCACCGAGUGUAUUUUACCUACCCAGGUCUUAGUAACCAAGGGACUAUAAAAUAACUGGUGUAUUCUUAGAGCUUUUGGACGAUUUGCUCGAAGAAGUGGCCGUGUGGUUAGCCCACUGGUACCACAACUGUACCUGCUGUAUCCACAACAUGAUUACCACAAUGUUGGUAGUUGCGGUUACAGUGGCUAGUGUGGUCAUGUAUGGUAUAGCUGAACUACUACCACAUUCCUUCACUGGCCACGAUGACUACCCCUGGCUACCACCCUACCUCUCACAACCGUCCUAUCCAGCCCAACCACCAUACCCACCACAACCCUCCUACCCCUCACAACCCUCCUACCCCUCACAUCCAUCCUACCCCUCACAUCCAUCCUACCCCUCACAUCCAUCCUACCCCUCACAUCCAUCCUACCCCUCACAAACAACCUACCCCUUACAACCAUCCUACCCCUCACAACCAUACUACCCCUCACAACCAUCCUACCCCUCACAAACAACCUACCCCUCACAACCAUCCUACCCCUCACAACCAUCCUACCCCUCACAAGCAACCUACCCCUCACAACCAUCCUACCCCUCACAAGCAUCCUACCCCUCACAACCAUUCUAUCCUUCACAACCUUCUUAUCCUUGGGAGCCAUACUACGACUGGCAAACAUACGAUUACUAUCCUUGGCAACCAUAUUAUCCUUGGCAACCAACCUACCCUAGCCAGCCGCCCUCUCCACCCCCGCAGACCAAUACGCCGCCUCAGGGCCCACCAGUAUGGCCCACAGGCAGAGCGGCUAUCACCAGAUCCCCGUCUAUAGCCGAGUGGCCUACUGGCAGGGCUACCAAAUCACCUUCUGUCCAAGUCUGGCCCACUGAGAAGAGAACCAGCACGUCCCCACUGACUACCACUACAACUACUACCACUACUACCAGACCUGUGUGGCCCACUGAGAAGAGGACCAAAAGACCUCUCUGGCCCACAGGACCAUCGCACACCGUCACAACUCCACCGGUCCCAGUAUGGCCCACUGGACCAUCGCGGACUGUCACACAUCCACCAACCCACCCCUGGCCAACUGAUGCUUCCCAGAUUGCUCCAAGCACUCCUCCUACCCCAAGGUGGCCCACUACAUACAGCCCUGAGUGGCCAACCAGUAGAUCACAGCCAACGACCCUUGCUCCUUUAUGGCCAACCAAUAAAUCACAGCUAACGACCCCUGUUGGACCUGUAUGGCCAACCUACAAACCACCCAGCAUCGUCACCACCACGCCCACAAGGCCCACCGCCACCACCAGUGAUCCAAACAAAAGGUGCAAGAAACUCUGUCUGGAUGAGACUGGUAAACGUCGGUGUUGUGAUAGAGAGGUGGGCGAGUGUCCAGACCGACCCAUCACGUGUAGCGCCUCGAAUUACUCUCCCCAGCCACGUUGCUUCAUUGACAGUCAGUGUGGAGCCCAAGAGAGGUGUUGUUUAGAUCCCUGUACUGAGAAGUUCAUCUGUGUCCGACUGUAACCAAGUCCAGACACUCCUCACCAAGUUCAAGGUCUACUACAAGUAGUCUAAAAACCCCUUACCAAGUCCAGGGUCUGCUACACCAAGUCCAGACCAAUCUGUAAACAUCAUAUACCUGUAACGUGUUGCUAUUAUUAUUAUUUUCAAUAUUAUUGAUUUUAUUAUUACUUAUUAUCACUAUUAUUAACACUACCAUCUUCCUUAUUUUGCAUUGCUUUAUAAGACCUAACUUUUAAUUAUUUCAGUUGAUUACUGUUAUAAUUACCAAUAAAAACACAAAGAAUGAUUUUAACAUGAGUUUAAUAAAAUAUUAUGUUGAGAUCCCGUGGAGUCGUCUCACUGAUUCAACAUUGUUAGACUGUACAAGUGUGGAAAGAAAACAAGAGUUGAAUCCAUCAGGUGAAAACUAACAGAUAAACAGAAGGUGAAACACAUACACAGGCCGAUGUGGCGAGGGAGACUAGGACACAGGCUAGGAUAGAUAGCAAUUAAUAAAUAAAUAUAAAUCAGAUGUGCUGACAGGUGUGUCGCUACCUGUGUAUGAUGAUUAUUGUUCGUAUUAAGUAUUAUUAGUAUACAGUAUCAUUAUUAUUAACAUUACUAUUAUAUUGCUGCUGUACUGUAUUAACAUUAUGAUCCACUAAAGAGUUCACCAUUACAUUCAAUAAACCUCCUAACAACCUCCAUUAUCAGCCUAAUACUCCCGUUAACACCACCACAAGCUGUAAAUCUUAACUAUAUAAGGACAAUAAACAUCGAUAAAGGAAA